rnacentral:rRNA from 1 species
GUGGGGAAUAUUGGACAAUGGGCGCAAGCCUGAUCCAGCCAUGCCGCGUGUGUGAAGAAGGCCUUUUGGUUGUAAAGCACUUUAAGCGAGGAGGAGGCUCCUUUAGUUAAUACCUAAAGAGAGUGGACGUUACUCGCAGAAUAAGCACCGGCUAACUCUGUGCCAGCAGCCGCGGUAAUACAGAGGGUGCGAGCGUUAAUCGGAUUUACUGGGCGUAAAGCGUGCGUAGGCGGCUUUUUAAGUCGGAUGUGAAAUCCCUGAGCUUAACUUAGGAAUUGCAUUCGAUACUGGAAAGCUAGAGUAUGGGAGAGGAUGGUAGAAUUCCAGGUGUAGCGGUGAAAUGCGUAGAGAUCUGGAGGAAUACCGAUGGCGAAGGCAGCCAUCUGGCCUAAUACUGACGCUGAGGUACGAAAGCAUGGGGAGCAAACAGGAUUAGAAACCCCUGUAGUCC